GAGUUUGAUCAUGACUCAGAACGAACGCUGGCGGCAGGCCUCAAACAUGCAAGUCUAGGGGGUGUAGCAAUACAUCACCGGCGGACGGGUGCGUAACGCGUGGGAAUAUACCUAUUGGUUCGGAACAACUGAGGGAAACUUCAGCUAAUACCGAAUGUGCCCUUACGGGGAAAGAUUUAUCGCCAAUGGAUUAGCCCGCGUUGGAUUAGCUAGUUGGUGGGGUAACGGCCUACCAAGGCGACGAUCCAUAGCUGUUCUGAGAGGAAGAUCAGCCACACUGGGACUGAGACACGGCCCAGACUCCUACGGGAGGCAGCAGUUGGGAAUCUUGGACAAUGGGGGAAACCCUGGUCCAGCCAUGCCGCGUGAGUGAUGAAGGCCUUC
rnacentral:rRNA from 1 species